rnacentral:rRNA from 1 species
GACAGAGGGUGCAAACGUUGUUCGGAAUUACUGGGCGUAAAGCGCACGUAGGCGGAUGUGUCAGUCAGGGGUGAAAUCCCGGAGCUCAACUUCGGAACUGCCCUUGAUACAGCACGUCUUGAGUCCGAGAGAGGUGGAUGGAAUUCCUAGUGUAGAGGUGAAAUUCGUAGAUAUUAGGAAGAACACCGGUGGCGAAAGCGCUCUGCUGGACCUUAACUGACACUGAGGGACGAAAGCUAGGGGAGCGAAUGGG